GUUCUCUCGCUUUAGCGGCACGUAUACUAAAAUUGGAACAAUACAGAGAAGAUCAGCAUGCCCUCCCUCGCCAGGAUGACAUUCGAACUCAUGAAGCAUUCCAUAUUUUU